UCUCCGUUGGUGAACCAGCGGAGGGAUCAUUACUGAGUUGCAAAACUCCAACACCACUGUGAACUUGCCCUGUUGUUGCUUCGGCUGGGAGGCCGCUUCCCCUGGGGAGCGUUGCCCGCGGCCCCGCUCGGGGUGCCCGCCGGGGAUCAGACCCUCUGAAUUUUAUCUUGGUACCUCUGAGUUGGACACUAAAUCAGUUAAAACUUUCAACAACGGAUCUCUUGGCUCUGGCAUCGAUGAAGAACGCAGC
rnacentral:misc_RNA from 1 species